rnacentral:rRNA from 1 species
UACGUAGGGGGCUAGCGUUGUCCGGAUUUAUUGGGCGUAAAGAGCGUGUAGGCGGCCAUGUAGGUCCGGUGUGAAAACUCGAGGCUUAACCUCGAGAUGUCAUCGGAAACCAUUUGGCUAGAGUCCGGAAGAGGAGAGUGGAAUUCCUGGUGUAGCGGUGAAAUGCGCAGAUAUCAGGAGGAACACCGAUUGCGAAGGCAGCUCGCUGGAACGUUACUGACGCUGAGACGCGAAAGCGUGGGGAGCAAACAGG